rnacentral:rRNA from 1 species
UACGUAGGGUGCGAGCGUUAAUCGGAAUUACUGGGCGUAAAGCGUGCGCAGGCGGUUUUGUAAGCCAGAUGUGAAAUCCCCGGGCUUAACCUGGGAAUGGCAUUUGGGACUGCAAGGCUGGAGUGCGGCAGAGGAGACUGGAAUUCCCGGUGUAGUGGUGAAAUGCGUAGAUAUCGGGAGGAACACCAGUGGCGAAGGCGGCUUCCUGGCCUGUUCUUGACGCUGAGGCGCGAAAGCUAGGGGAGCAAACGGG